AGCUCCAAUAGCGUAUAUUAAAGUUGUUGUGGUUAAAGAGCUCGUAGUUGGAUUUCUGCUGAGGACCACGGUCCGCCCUCUGGGUGAGCAUCUGGUUCGGCCUUGGCAUCUUCUUGGGGAACGUAGCUGCACUUGACUGUGUGGUGCGGUAUCCAGGACUUUUACUUCGAGGAAAUUAGAGUGUUUCAAGCAGGCGCAUGCCUUGAAUACCUUAGCAUGGAAGAAUAAGAUAGGACCUCGGUUCUAUUUUGUUGGUUUCUAGAGCUGAGGUAAUGAUUAAUAGGGAUACUUGGGGGGGCAGUCGUAUUUAAUUGUCAGACGUGAAAUUGUUGGAUCUGUU
rnacentral:rRNA from 1 species